UUUUAUUUAAACAUCUUCGAGUAGCCUAGUCUAAAAUAUUUUAUCUAGAAAGUUGACUUGACAACUGCUAUUUUAAUUACUAGUGAUUCAACGCUUCCAAUUUACGUUUUGUCAGCUUAUUAUACAUUCAUUCAACAAUUUUUACGUUUUAGAAAUGAACACACCAAAAAAGACCAAGAAGAUUAAGAAAAAAUAUAAAAAGUCUAGCUGGUAUGACGUUCUAUAUCCAACUUAUAAAUCGAGAUGCAUUGAUUUCAAAAGAAUUUUUGCCAACGUUAUUCCCGCCGAUGAUAUAUUAAUUGCAGAUUAUGGCUGUGCUCUACAACGUGAAAUCUUGGUUCAAGGACGUUUGUACGUCUCAUUGAACUAUAUUUGCUUUUACGCCAACAUAUUCAGAUGGGAGACAAUGGUUUACGUUAGAUGGGAAGACGUGAGUGCGAUAAAUAGAGAGAAAACUGCUUAUGUAAUUCCAAAUGCAAUCCAAAUUCACACAGAAAACGAAAAAUAUUUUCUAACAUCGUUCAUUUCAAGGGAUAAGACGUAUGCUAUGCUAUUCAGAUUAUGGCAGAAUGCAUUGUCUGAUCAGUCAUUUUCCAGAGCGGAUGUACUGAAUUUGGUGAAAUUAUAUUACGGCACUGACCUGAGUUAUAGCAGUGAGGAUGAUGAAUCAAUAGCAACGGACGGCUACAUGUCAAGGUCAACAAGCAGGGCAUCUGACCCUCCUAAAUCACCGAGAUUUACUACAAGUAUUGAUAAUGGUGAGAUAAGAGAAAAAAUGCUGUCAUUCGUAAAUGCUGAAGUUGAAUUUUCUGAAAGUAAUGAGAUUAAGGAAGAACCGAUCACUUGUCCCAUACCUCAUGAAGGACGUCUAAUUUUGAAAGGUGAUUUCAAUGUGGAUGUUGAUAAGUUAUUCGAAUUGCUUUUCUCAGAGUCUGAGUUUUUCAUCAACUUCCAUAAAUCACGGAAAAACACAGAUUUGAAGUUCAUACCCUGGAUACUUAAUUCAGAUUCAAAACUAAAAGUAAGAACAUUCAGUCUGAAUGUGCCAGUGAAUCAGCCUCUUGGGCCCAAGUCAUGUCACGUUAAGGAAAAACAGAUAUUGUCGAAACUAAGUCAGCCUGGAAAAAUGUACAUUGUCGAUGCUGAAUCAACUAACCACGGUGUUCCGUAUGCUGAUUCUUUUUGUGUGGAAUUCCACUAUUGUUUGCUCAAAACGUCUUCAAAAUCUUCAUCUGUAUCUGUACACACGCGAAUAACGUACAAGAAAUCAGUUUGGGGACUUAUAAAAAGCUUUAUAGAGAAGAACGUUUGGGCUGGCGUAGAGGACACUUUCAAUCACCUAUUGAAAUCACUCAACGAACACUGCCAACAAGAAGUGAAUCAAGACAAAAACACCGAAUCAUUAGACGAGAAACCCAAUCAACCAAUCUCUUGACUGUCCAGAGGCGAUGUAUUGUACCAAGUCCAGUCAAUUGGACUGGCGAGACCUGAUACAUUCUUUAUCUAUUAUACAACAGGCUGAAAAUAACUUGAGAAUAGCAAAGGCCAGACUUAUUGAGUUAAUUCAAAGGAACUC
rnacentral:misc_RNA from 1 species